AAAUCCCUGAGUGUUAGUGUUUUGUUGUGUUCCCAAUCCAAAAUCCCCGAAGCUUGUCCAUCCUUCAUGCUAACCUGCACUGUCGUGCUCAUCCCUACACUGUUGCUGUUGGGAAUCAUCAUCUCUCUCAUUUUCUCUUAGACCCCCUUCCCACUCUCCCUCAUUAGGUACAAUAUCACCGACAUAUUGUGGAUACAUUGGCUGGCUGCUUCCUCUUUCAUGCUGCUCAUCACUUUCUUCAAUAUCUUCAUCAUCGAUAGCCUCA
rnacentral:lncRNA from 1 species